CGUUGAAACACCGGUUCCCGUUCGAUCACCAAAGUUAAGCAAUGUCGUAUCUGGUCAGUACCUCGAUUGAUGGCCGCUUGGGAAUACCUGAUGCUA